ACACAUGCAAGUCGAGGGGCAGCGGGGAGUAGCAAUACUUCGCCGGCGACCGGCGCACGGGUGAGUAACACGUGUGCAACCAACCCCGUACCGGGAGAUAACCCGCGGAAACGUGGACUAACAUCCCAUAAUACUGGAGGAUCGCAUGAUCUUUCAUUUAAAAUUCCGGUGGUACGGGACGGGCACGCGCGACAUUAGGUAGUUGGCGGGGUAACGGCCCACCAAGCCGACGAUGUCUAGGGGUUCUGAGAGGAAGGUCCCCCACACUGGAACUGAGACACGGUCCAGACUCCUACGGGAGGCAGCAGUGAGGAAUAUUGGUCAAUGGGCGAGAGCCUGAACCAGCCAAGUCGCGUGAGGGAUGAAUGGUCCAUGGCCUGUAAACCUCUUUUGUCAAGGAAGAAUAAAUUGCACGUGUGCGAUCUUGCCAGUACUUGACGAAUAAGCAUCGGCUAACUCCGUGCCAGCAGCCGCGGUAAUACGGGGGAUGCGAGCGUUAUCCGGAUUUAUUGGGUUUAAAGGGCGCGUAGGCGGGACGCCAAGUCAGCGGUAAAAGACUGCAGCUAAACUGUAGCACGCCGUUGAAACUGGCGCCCUCGAGACGAGACGAGGGAGGCGGAACAAGUGAAGUAGCGGUGAAAUGCUUAGAUAUCACUUGGAACCCCGAUAGCGAAGGCAGCUUCCCAGGCUCGAUCUGACGCUGAUGCGCGAGAGCGUGGGUAGCGAACAGGAUUAGAUACCCUGGUAGUCCACGCCGUAAACGAUGCUCACUGG
rnacentral:rRNA from 1 species